GGGGUCGACUGGUUUUGACAGCAAGUGGCACUAAUUAGUAAGCAUGUCGAGCAUUGUAUUUUUGGCUCGUAAAUAUCAAUUAUACACACUUUUUAAACGGCGAAAAUACUUACGCUUUAGCUGCAUAAUCAGAAUUAUAGUACGAUAAUGCCAAGUUCCUACUAGGUAGGAAAGCUGGAUUUCUCUCAAAAGCCUUGGUUUGUGGCGGUUGGUUAAGAGGAAUGGUAAAAAUAAACCUAGGAACGGUAAAACUUUAAAUCCGCUCUGACACUGAUAAAGUUAAGCAUGUAGUGGCUGUUUUUGGCCAAGCUGCAUGUCGAAAAUCUAAACAAAAACUAUACAUGUAGAAAGCUUUUUGAUGGCUUGUUUGGACGAGAGUUCGAUUCUCUCCGACUCCACAG
rnacentral:tmRNA from 1 species